UACGAAGGGGGCUAGCGUUGUUCGGAAUUACUGGGCGUAAAGGGCGCGUAGGCGGUUUAAUAAGUUGGGUGUGAAAGCCCAGGGCUCAACCCUGGAACGGCACCCAAGACUGUUUUACUUGAAUUCGGUAGAGGUUGGUGGAAUUCCCAGUGUAGAGGUGAAAUUCGUAGAGAUUGGGAAGAACACCCGUGGCGAAGGCGGCCAACUGGACCGACAUUGACGCUGAGGCGCGAAAGCGUGGGGAGCAAACAGG
rnacentral:rRNA from 1 species